rnacentral:sRNA from 1 species
GGAUGUGAGGAUGGUCUGGCUGCGACAUCUGUCACUCCACAGAUCUCUAGGGUUGAUUCAGCUGAUCUGGCUGGCUAGACAGGUGUCCCCUUCCUCCCUCACAACUUCACGUAUGUCCCUCCUGAAGCUAUGCACUGGGUCAAAGAGGAUGACCUUUCCUUAAUAGAGGAGGACCAGUCUUUGGUCAAGGGUAAAUGAGUAAAAGGGUAAAAGAGGAGAUCACUGAGAGGUUGAGGCCAGCCUGGGAUUACAAAGUGAGUUCCAGGUCAGCCUGAGACCUUGGCCAAAAAAAAAGUAAUAAUAAACUAUAAUAAUAAACUAUAUCAUUUGCU